rfam:Salmo salar isolate Sally breed double haploid chromosome ssa15, whole genome shotgun sequence.
UUCCCUGUGGCUCAGUUGGUAGAGUAUGGUGUCUGCAACGCCAGGGUUGUGGGUUCGAUUCCCACAGGGGACC